AAAAAAAUCAGCCACUUGACUCUUUACCUUGACUGUUGGCUUCCCUGUCUGUAGCAGGUCUGAACAAGGAGAGUAAAAUAAGCCCUACCUUUAAAGCAGUUAAAUUUUUACUAUUGCCAUGAAACAAAGUAUUUUAAUAACUUACAAGAGAACUUUUUAUCACUUGAGUUAUAUCAGGAAAGAAAUACUACAUAAAUAUAAGGAAUAGCGGGAGACAAAAAAGAAAAAAAAUGAAUAUAUUCAUUCCAUCUACUUACAAGGAACUAUCUCUCUGUCUAAAAUAAUACACAGUGGCUUCAUAUACAGGCUUUAUCCAAAAAUUGGCAAGAAAGGAGGUGUCCAAUAAAUGUCUGUCGAAUAACUGUGGGUUCUUAAUCAAAUGAUGUUAUUCCAACACUAAGCUUGAUAAACAACGUCAUCAUGAUUUCAGGCAUAACUGAAGCAUGGAAACAGAUGAACACAUCACACAGCAUCAUUGCAUUACUUUAGAUUCUUUGCCUGAACUGUCCAAAAGGAGAAAUCCAAAUGGAAGAUUUCAUCCAAGUGGCCAUAAGAGUGAAGUUGUUUCUGUCAUUCAUUGCUUUUCUGAAGAUAUCCAUCUAAAGAAGAAAGAAUAUAUAACAUACGUUGUGAAUUUUCUGCAACAAUUGCUACAUGUAACAACAAUGGUGAAUCUACAUUCUACCAUAGUAAG
rnacentral:lncRNA from 1 species